rnacentral:rRNA from 1 species
UAGGGAAUAUUGCGCAAUGGAGGAAACUCUGACGCAGCGACGCCGCGUGAGUGAUGAAGGACUUCGGUUCGUAAAGCUCUGUUGCAAGGGAAAAAGAAAGUGAUUGUACCUUGCGAGAAAGGAUCGGCUAACUUCGUGCCAGCAGCCGCGGUAAGACGAGGGAUCCUAGCGUUGUUCGGAAUCAUUGGGCGUAAAGCGGGUGUAGGUGGCUUUGUAAGUCAGGUGUGAAAUCCUGGGGCUCAACCCCAGAAGUGCAUUUGAUACUGCAGAGCUUGAGUGCCGGAGAGGUUACUAGAAUACCUGGUGUAGUGGUGAAAUACGUAGAUAUCAGGUGGAACACCGGAGGCGAAGGCGGGUAACUGGCCGGACACUGACACUCAAACCCGAAAGCGUGGGGAUC